rnacentral:misc_RNA from 1 species
GUUUGAGGGCUGGAAAAGAGAGUGUAGUGACUGAAGAGUAUUGGAGUGAUCAGAAAAUUUUGAAAUUGAGGUCAUUGUAGAAGCGAACUUAGGGUGGAUUUGAAGAGAGAGAGGAGAGUGAAGUUUGAGGGCUGGAAAAGAGAGUGUAGUGGCGGUGGCGGUGUUUGCAGAGAAGUGGAGGGAGUGGGAGGGAAAGAAUUUAGGGGAUUGAGAGAGGAAAUAGGAUUGAGAUUGAGAAAGCAUUUUGGAAAUAUGAAGAGGAUAUAUGUAGGCUGGAAAUACACAGAGGGAAAGACGAGAGAAAGUGAGUGAGUGAGUGACGACUGACGACGGCUGAGAGAGGGAAAGGGCAGUGGGGAAGGUGGUAGAUGCG